GAUGAACGCUGGCGGUAUGCUUAACACAUGCAAGUCGAACGGACUCUCCGGAGUUAGUGGCGGACGGGUGAGUAACGCGUGAGAAUCUGGCUUUGGGUUCGGGACAACCACUGGAAACGGUGGCUAAUACCGGAUGUGCCGAGAGGUAAAAGAGAAAUUGCCUGAAGAUGAGCUCGCGUCUGAUUAGCUAGUUGGUGAGGUAAAGGCUCACCAAGGCAGCGAUCAGUAGCUGGUCUGAGAGGAUGACCAGCCACACUGGGACUGAGACACGGCCCAGACACCUACGGGAGGCAGCAGUGGGGAAUUUUCCGCAAUGGGCGAAAGCCUGACGGAGCAAUACCGCGUGAGGGAAGAAGGCUCUUGGGUUGUAAACCUCUUUUCUUAGGGAAGAACAAAAUGACGGUACCUAAGGAAUCAGCAUCGGCUAACUCCGUG
rnacentral:rRNA from 1 species